rnacentral:rRNA from 1 species
AUUGAACGCUGGCGGCAGGCCUAACACAUGCAAGUCGAGCGGAUGAAGAGAGCUUGCUCUCUGAUUCAGCGGCGGACGGGUGAGUAAUGCCUAGGAAUCUGCCUGGUAGUGGGGGACAUCGUUUCGAAAGGAACGCUAAUACCGCAUACGUCCUACGGGAGAAAGUGGGGGAUCUUCGGACCUCACGCUAUCAGAUGAGCCUAGGUACGAUUAGCUAGUUGGUGAGGUAAAGGCUCACCAAGGCGACGAUCGUUAACUGGUCUGAGAGGAUGAUCAGUCACACUGGAACUGAGACACGGUCCAGACUCCUACGGGAGGCAGCAGUGGGGAAUAUUGGACAAUGGGCGAAAGCUUGAUCCAGCCAUGCCGCGUGUGUGAAGAAGGUCUUCGGAUUGUAAAGCACUUUAAGUUGGGAGGAAGGGCAGUAAGUUAAUACCUUGCUGUUUUGACGUUACCGACAGAAUAAGCACCGGCUAACUUCGUGCCAGCAGCCGCCGUAA